rnacentral:miRNA from 1 species
UUUGGGAGUCUGAGGCAGGAGGAUCACUUGGGCCCAGGAGUUUGAGACCAGUCUGGGCAACAUAGUGAGACCUCUUCUCUACCAACA